ACACAUACAUGUACACACACACACUGGACAAGCUGUUCUCUCCCCUGUUUCAGCAGACCAAACACAGACUGACCUGUCUGUUUGUGCUUGUGUGCUUGCGUGUGUGUGUGUGUGUGUGUGU